rnacentral:lncRNA from 1 species
GUCCCUAUGUUGACUCGUUGAAAAAAAUAUAAAUAUGGCCUUCUACAGUUAUAAAACAGUCUUAGCUAUUGCCCGGACAAGAUUCCCUAACCAUUUUGUCCAGCCUACCAGCUCUUCUUACUCCCCAUCAUUUGCAUUGCUUCACUUACCAGAUUGCCAUUUAAACAAAACCUAUAUGAAGAACUAUGGAAGCAAAAAGUUCUCCCAUCCAAGUCAGUUAGGCAAUAAAGUACUUCAUUUACGAGCCAGAAUCUUCCAAGAGCUGCACACUUCAACUUGCUGGUUGCAGGAGGUCCCCAAUAAGCAUCAACAGGAGCAAACAGCAAAGAAGCCUCAGGUGCCAAGCCCUCAGCCCGUGAAAGAAGCGGGCAUGAGGAUUAAGGAAGGAAAGCGAUCUUAUAGACAAAUAAUUAUGGAUGAACUGAAAUAUUAUUACAAUGGAUUCUAUUUGCUUUGGAUUGACACCAAAGUUGCUGCCAGGAUGGUUUGGAGGCUGUUGCAUGGACAGGUGCUGACCAGGCGAGAGAGAAGAAGGCUGCUGAGAACCUGUGCUGAUUUCUUCCGCCUGGUUCCAUUCAUGGUGUUCAUCAUCGUCCCCUUCAUGGAAUUCUUAUUGCCAGUGUUUCUGAAACUUUUCCCGGAGAUGUUGCCAUCAACUUUUGAAAGUGAAUCCAAAAAGGAAGAAAAACAGAGAAAGAAAAUGGCUGCAAAGUUGGAACUAGCGAAAUUCCUUCAAGAAACGAUUACAGAAAUGGCAAAGAGGAACAGGGCCCAGCUGGGGGACGCCUCAACCCAGUUCUCCUCCUACGUCAAACAGGUCCAGACAGGCCACAAGCCCAGCACCAAGGAGAUAGUUCAAUUUUCCAAACUCUUUGAGGAUCAGCUGACCCUGGAGCACCUCGACCGACCUCAGCUGGUGGCCCUUUGCAAACUGCUGGAACUGCAGUCCUUUGGAACCAACAAUCUGCUUCGCUUCCAGCUACUGAUGAGGCUGAAGUCUAUAAAAGCAGAUGAUGAGGUAAUUGCCAAGGAAGGGGUGAAUGCUCUGAGUGUGUCGGAGCUCCAAGCUGCCUGCAGGGCCCGAGGGAUGCUGUCACUGGGCCUCACUGAGGGGCAGCUGAGACAGCAGCUCACAGAGGCAAGUGGUCGCUUUCCUGGGUCCUGUUCCCUGGAACUCUCUCCUGUCCGUUUGUGUGUCUGCUCAGUUGCAUCAGUCAUGUCUGACUUUUUGCAACACUAUGGACUGUUGCCCUCCAGGCUCCUCUGUCCAUGGGAUUCUCCAGGCAAGCAUACUGGAAUGGGUUGCCAUGCCCUCCUCCAGGGGACCUUCCUGAUGCAGGGAUUGAACCCGUGUCUCUUAUGUCUCCUGCAUUGGCAGGCAGAGUUCUUUACCACUAGAGCCAUCUGGAAGCCCCCUUUCCCAUUUUCAGGCCUUGUUUUUUUAAUUUCUGCCUUGCCAUCUUACCUAAUUGGCCUUCUUUGGUGGAGCCAUGGGCCGCUGAAGAAGCUGGCUUUGACUGCAACACAGUACUCUGUUGAAUAG